UCCGGUGGAUCCUGCCGGACCCGACUGCUAUCAGAGUGGGACUAAGCCAUGCGAGACAACAUAGCAAUAUGUGGCAUACGGCUCAGUAACACGUAGUCAACAUGCCCAGGGGACGUGGAUAACCUCGGGAAACUGAGGAUAAACCGCGAUAAGUCACUGCUUCUGGAAUGGGCAAUGACUUAAAUCUAUAUGGCCCCUGGAUUGGACUGCGGCCGAUCAGGCUGUUGGUGAGGUAAUGGCCCACCAAACCUGUAACCGGUACGGGCUCUGAGAGGAGGAGCCCGGAGAUGGGCACUGAGACAAGGGCCCAGGCCCUAUGGGGCGCAGCAGGCGCGAAACCUCUGCAAUAGGCGAAAGCCUGACAGGGUUACUCUGAGUGAUUUCCGUUAAGGAGAUCUUUUGGCACCUCUAAAAAUGGUGCAGAAUAAGGGGUGGGCAAGUCUGGUGUCAGCCGCCGCGGUAAUACCAGCACCCCGAGUGGUCGGGACGUUUAUUGGGCCUAAAGCAUCCGUAGCCGGUUCUGCAAGUCUUCCGUUAAAUCCACCUGCUUAACAGAUGGGCUGCGGAAGAUACUAUAGAGCUAGGAGGCGGGAGAGGCAAGCGGUACUCGAUGGGUAGGGGUAAAAUCCGUUGAUCCAAUGAAGACCACCAGUGGCGAAGGCGGCUUGCCAGAACGCGCUCGACGGUGAGGGAUGAAAGCUGGGGGAGCAAACCGGAUUAGAUACCCGGGUAGUCCCAGCUGUAAACGAUGCAGACUCGGUGAUGAAUUGGCUUUAUGCCAAUUCAGUGCCGCAGGGAAGCCGUUAAGUUUGCCGCCUGGGGAGUACGGUCGCAAGACUGAAACUUAAAGGAAUUGGCGGGGGAGCACCACAAGGGGUGAAGCCUGCGGUUCAAUUGGAGCAACGCCGGAAAUCUUACCGGGGGCGACAGCAGAAUGAAGGUCAAGCCGAAGACUUUACCAGACAAACUGAGAGGAGGUGCAUGGCCGUCGCCAGCUCGUGCCGUGAGGUGUCCUGUUAAGUCAGGUAACGAGCGAGACCCCUGCCUCUAGUUGCUACCAUUAUUCUCAGGAGUAGUGGAGCUAAUUAGAGGGACUGCCGUCGCUGAGACGGAGGAAGGAGGGGGCUACGGCAGGUCAGUAUGCCCCGAAACCCUCGGGCCACACGCGGGCUGCAAUGGUAAGGACAAUGAGUAUCGAUUCCGAAAGGAGGAGGCAAUCUCUAAACCUUACCACAGUUAUGAUUGAGGGCUGAAACUCGCCCUCAUGAAUAUGGAAUCCCUAGUAACCGCGUGUCACUAUCGCGCGGUGAAUACGUCCCUGCUCCUUGCACACACCGCCCGUCGCUUCAUCGAAGUUGGUUCUUGGCGAGGUGAUGCCUAAUUGGUACUAUCGAACCUGGGGUCAGCAACGAGGGAG
rnacentral:rRNA from 1 species